ACGGAUAUAUCACGUUGAAACACCGGUUCCCCUAUAAUAGCCGAAGUUAAGCAACGUCGAGCCUGGUCAGUACCUAGAUUGGUAACCGUUUGGGAAUACCAGGUGCUA